rnacentral:rRNA from 1 species
AUUGAACGCUGGCGGCAUGCCUUACACAUGCAAGUCGAACGGUAACAGGUCUUCGGAUGCUGACGAGUGGCGAACGGGUGAGUAAUACAUCGGAACGUGCCUAGUAGUGGGGGAUAACUACUCGAAAGAGUGGCUAAUACCGCAGAGAUCUACGGAUGAAAGCAGGGGAUCGCAAGACCUUGUGCUACUAGAGCGGCCGAUGGCAGAUUAGGUAGUUGGUGGGAUAAAAGCUUACCAAGCCGACGAUCUGUAGCUGGUCUGAGAGGACGAUCAGCCACACUGGGACUGAGAGCCGGCCCAGACUCCUACGGGAGGCAGCAGUGGGGAAUUUUGGACAAUGGGCGAAAGCCUGAUCCAGCAAUGCCGCGUGCAGGAUGAAGGCCUUCGGGUUGUAAACUGCUUUUGUACGGAACGAAAAGCCCCGGGUUAAUACCCUGGGGUCAUGACGGUACCGUAAGAAUAAGCACCGGCUAACUACGUGCCAGCCGCCGCAGUAA